rnacentral:tRNA from 1 species
GUUCAGGUAGCUCAGCUGGUUUGAGAAAAGGCUGAAAAUCCUUGUGUCAGUGGUUCAAAUCCAUUUCUAAGCA